rnacentral:rRNA from 1 species
UACGAAGGGGGCGAGCGUUGUUCGGAAUUACUGGGCGUAAAGGGCGUGUAGGCGGCUCCUUUUGUCGCGUGUGAAAGCCCCGGGCUCAACCUGGGGAAUUGCGCGCGAAACGGGGGGGGCUUGAGUUCGGGGAGAGGAGCGUGGAAUUCCCAGUGUAGAGGUGAAAUUCGUAGAUAUUGGGAAGAACACCGGGUGGGCGAAAGGCGGCGC